GAAAAAUCAGUUUCCAUAUGAUCACCAAAGUUAAGCAAUGUCAUGCCUGGUCAAUACAUAGAUGGGUGACCACUUGGGAAUACCAGGUGCUGUAAG